rnacentral:rRNA from 1 species
AGCGAACGUUAGCGGCGGGCCUAACACAUGCAAGUCGAACGAGAAUGUGGACUUCGGUCCACUAGUAAAGUGGCGGACGGGUGCGUAACACGUGGGUAAUCUACCUUCCGGCGGGGGACAACAGUCCGAAAGGAUUGCUAAUACCGCAUACGUCAGCGAGGUCUACGGAUCUUGUUGGGAAAGAUGGCCUCUCCUUGGAAGCUGUCUCCGGAAGAUGAGCCCGCGGCCCAUCAGCUAGNGGUGAGGUAAUGGCUCACCAAGGCUUAGACGGGUAGCUGGUCUGAGAGGAUGAUCAGCCACACUGGGACUGCGACACGGCCCAGACUCCUACGGGAGGCAGCAGUGGGGAAUAUUGAGCAAGUGGGCGAAAGCCUGACCCAGCCACGCCGCGUGAGUGAUGAAGGCCUUC